GGUUUUCGGAUCGUAAAGCUCUGUUGUUAGGGAAGAACAAGUGCCGUUCAAAUAGGGCGGCACCUUGACGGUACCUAACCAGAAAGCCACGGCUAACUACGUGCCAGCAGCCGCGGUAAUACGUAGGUGGCAAGCGUUGUCCGGAAUUAUUGGGCGUAAAGGGCUCGCAGGCGGUUUCUUAAGUCUGAUGUGAAAGCCCCCGGCUCAACCGGGGAGGGUCAUUGGAAACUGGGGAACUUGAGUGCAGAAGAGGAGAGUGGAAUUCCACGUGUAGCGGUGAAAUGCGUAGAGAUGUGGAGGAACACCAGUGGCGAAGGCGACUCUCUGGUCU
rnacentral:rRNA from 2 species